UUUCCGUAGGUGAACCUGCGGAAGGAUCAUUAUUGUAUAACCGAGGUGCGAGGGCUGUCGCUGACCCGAAAGGUCGUGCACGCCCGAGUGCCCCUCACACACAUCCAUCUCACCCCUAUGUGCACCACCGCGUGGGUCCCCCUUUGGCUUGUUCGGAGGGGGGCUUACGUUUUCACACAAACUUUGUAUGCAGUGUAGAAUGUAUUUUUUGUUUUUGCGAUCACGCAAUCAAUACAACUUUCAACAACGGAUCUCUUGGCUCUC
rnacentral:misc_RNA from 1 species